rnacentral:lncRNA from 1 species
UUGGAGGCUCUGGUAUGCUCUGAUGGUAGGAGGAGAUGGUACAGGGAGGCCACAAAGACUGAUGCUCUUUGGUUCUCCAGUUGUCUUUCAGGAGGUGUAGCCUGGUUGUGGCCUGGGGAGUUUGGCUGUUCUGUGUGGUGUGCCUCCACGGUGUGGUCUCCAGUGAGCUGCUCAGCAGGUGUAGACCCGGGCAGGGCGAAGCUCUCUGGGCUGUUGACUGUGAGGCCCCUCCCCACCGGUAGAUUUCCAAGCCUCUUCAGUUUUGCAUUCAGCCACAGCAGAAUCCGAAUGAAUACUGAGUGCUAAAGGAAGAUUUUUAGGUUGAAUGAAAAGGAUAUUGAAUAGAAACUUGGACUUAUAAGAGUUUCAGAAAUGGUAAACUCCUCCAGGGCAGGACCUGACUCUUCAGAGGAAUUUUUUAAUCCCCCUCCCCAGAAGUGCCCACGUCAAGGCCAUAGUAGAGAAGGAGCUCAAGAGCAAUCCCUAAGCAACCACGCUUGGAAGCAUCCUGCAACAGAGGGAUUUGUUCCAGACUCAGAUUUAAUCCACUAUUACCUUUUCGUAAGACAAGUGUUGUCUGAAGGAGUCUGUGUGUAAUUUUGAGACAAAAGGAUUGCAGAACUCAGCUCCCAGGUUGUCUCAUAUCUGAUUCUUCGAAAGAGGAAAAGAAGCGAACUCUUCUGCACAAUAGCUGAGCAGAUAGGAGAGAAAAAGCUUGAAGAUUCACAGUGGAGCAAGGCUAAUUGGAGCCUUCCUCAGAGCAGCUCAACUAUCCCAGUUUUACCUAUCCCAUUCCUUGCCAUUCCCACUUGUAAUUCUGUCUUGGCAAGAACACCAUACUGAAGGUUCUUAAAGCAGUUUGUAGACUUUAAUUAGUUCUGUGGAAAGUCAGUCAAAGCUCAGCCUUCAUUCUGCCAACAGAGACAACAGUGGUGGGUGUGGAAGGAAGGCAAGAAGAAGAUGGACACCCAGAGCAGUUGUGCAACUUACUGAAGGCCAUGUGGAUAGGAGGAACUGGGUUUAAAACCCCUGAGUCUUGAUAAAAGUGUCUUAGCCUUCUAGAUUCCUAAACAGGUAGUGGGCUCAUCCUACUAACCUACUUUGCUAGGGUGUUGUUGAUGAAUGCUUAUAAACCCUGUCCUAGAUGAUAGGUUUGGAAGAUUGUUAAAGAAAGCAUGUCAUUAAGUCCCUACUCACCCCCUCCUUGACAAAUAGCCCUGGAGGGAAAUGAAUAUUAGCCAGAAUCGUAGGGCCUCCACUUCAAUGGAAUGAACUGAGAUUCAACAACAAGAGAAAUGUUCCAACAGUGAGGGAAAUCAACAAUGUGCUGGGGGUGAAGGGUAGGGGUUGGGAAGGCCUAAACAGGUGACCAUUGCCAGACAGCCCAGACAAGAUCAUCACAGAAUAGCUGAUUCCCAUUAGACACUGUGGGUGAUCAUUAUCUUAAAAUUCAGGACACUAUUUUUGUAGUAGUUUCCCUUCCUCUCUUUGUAAGAGCAGAAGACCUCUCUGGGGCCUAUCACAAGACAAGCGGGUGUUUGCAAAUGAGGGACGUACUUUGAGACUGAAUUGCUCUGUGCUUCUCUAAAAGACAUGGUUAAGAGUUUGGGCGCUGAUGUUAGAGACUGAGAUUAAAAUCCUUCCUUGCCACUUCCAUCAGUAUAAAUUUGGAUAAGUUUCUUAACUUCUCUAAGCCUUGAUUUUCUCACCUAUAAAAUGGGCCUAAUAAUAGUGCCUAACUUAGAGGUUUGUUGUAAAGGUUAAAUGCAAUUAUUCAGGUAAAGCCUUAAUGGAGCCUGAUAUGUAGUAAGCACUCAAUCCAUUUUAUCUACUGACUCUUUUCUCUGUGUGGGUUACCCACUUUGGAGAUUGUCCCCAGUAAUUUCUUUGGUCAAGUCUUGAUCUCCCUGGCCCCUUGGCUGUCUUCUCCCACCAUGAUCAGUGAGAAGUUGAGGAGCACUAAUACCAAAUUCUUUUUCAUGUUAGUUAGGAGAAAGCAGAAUUACGAAGGUCAACCUGCUGGUGUAAAAAAAUAUUACAUAGAUUAGCCCUGCUCUACAUAUUAGAUAUGUUCUCAAAAUGCCUAAGUGGCCUUUUUUUUUUUUUUUAAUUUAAGUUCUAGGGUACAUGUGCACAACGUGCAGGUUUGUUACAUGUGUAUACAUGUGCCAUGUUGGUGUGUGGCACCCAUUAACUUGUCAUUUACAUUAGGUAUAUCUCCUA